rnacentral:tRNA from 1 species
GGAAGUUUAGCUCAGCUGGGAGAGCAUCUGCCUUACAAGGAGCCCGUUAACUUCCACCA